AUCGUUUAAUUAGAGAAAAAAAAAUGGAAAAUAAACAUUGCUUACUAUUAACGACCUAAUCUAGAGGGCAAGCACGACGCCACACAAAUGUUCUAGUUUUAAAUCUUUUAUCAUUUCUCCGGUGGCAAUUCAAAAUCACCCGAUACGGUGACUUGAUGCUGUCGUUUAGAGUGUGUUGGGUUGUACUCUAAUUGAAAAGUGGAUACACUUUAACCAAAAUUUACCCGCUUUUUGUUGCAUCGUAGAUCUUUCAGGCUCAGAUCGCCGAAGUGCAGGGGAAUUUAUGCACAAGGAAUUGAAAAUACGAAAAAUCAACGAAAGCCGGCGAACUUGAGGUUUUUCCUCUCUCUCUCUUUAGAUUUAAAUAAAAAACUCGAACAUAUUAUAAGGUCACGUGUCGUUAAACACGUGGCUUCUGUCUGAACAAAGUAAAUAUUUAGUGUUUUUUCCCUCUACUCCCGCGCAUUUUAAAUUCAAGAGUCGCGCCAUUUUCAAGAGAAGGGCGAAGUAAUAUGCGAGAACGCAAAGACGGAGAAACGAGGCACACAAACAAUGGCCAUUGAUACCAAAUUUGGAAAGCCGAUAUGUUCAAUCUGCUACGAAGACCUCAAACCAAUCGUCGAAGACUUGCAAGUUAUCUCCAUUUGCGGCCAUGUCUUCCAUGAGCUCUGCUUGCAGCAGUGGUUCGAGUACUGUUCAAGCACGAAAAAGUGCACAUGUCCUGUGUGCAAGCAAAGUUGUAAAGCUAAUGAUGCCAGUCGACUUUAUUUUCAGUCGGUUGGUGAUCAGACUGAAACUUUAGUUUCGCAGAAGCCGAAAGAUUGUGAACCAGAAGACCCGGAGGUUUUGCGCUCUGAAGUGAAGAGAUUGGAGGUCAAGGUUUCGAGGCUUAAUUCAGCUUUGGAGAGUCAAGGGAAGGAGCUCAAAGAAAUCAGCGAGGAGUUGUGCCUUCGCAGAGAACGUUCAAAGGAGGAAGUAGCAUUGAAGAAUCAAGUUUUGCGAGAAAAAGCAUACAUUCAACAACAGCUUCAUUCGAAAUCCGAGGACCUUGAUAAAUUGAAUUCAGAGUGCUUGAGGCUUCAAGAAAGGAAUAUGGCCUUAGCCAAAGAACUUGCAGCCCUCAGAUUGGUAUCAGAUUUGAGCCUGGAUGAAAAUGAAGUUUUAAAAUUUGCCUCUUUGGGUAAUGAUGCUAACAACAAAGAUACAAUUGAUGUUUUAAGAAAAUCUCUGAUCAUCCGUAACAGGAAUUAUACAGAGUUGAUGGCCAAGUGCAAUCUUCUUGGAAGAGAAAAGGCUCGUUCAUGUGCUAAACUUGAGAAAGCUCAAGAAAAGAUACUUAAACUAAAGACAAGAGUACAAGAAUUGGAGACUGUAGGAGAAGUAAAAGCUAAUGAAGUUCUGAGGUCUUUGAAAGCCUUAAAGAAAACCAGUUGUGAAAAUGAUAUAAAAAAUGGCAAUGUUGAUUACUCCAAAUCUUUGUGUACAUCCAAUCGUAUAUAUGAAGAUUUUGUGGAGCAAUGUUCUGUGCCAAUGAGUGAAUUGGAUGGGACUAGAAGUGUGAAAGGUGAUUUAUCUUGCUUCAGAAAAGGAGAAAACUUCAAACCCCUUGAAAACAUGAAUGCAAAUCAUAGCAAAGAAAAUGUAGAUGUAAUGGUUCAUAAAAAGGCAAAAAAUGCUUCAUUUGUUGACGAUACAUCAAAAUCUUCUACAACCGUGCUUGAGCUUUCAAGUCCUUGUUUAAAACAUCAAGCUAAUAUAGAUGUAAUCCAUAACCCUACUCUGCCAAGAUUAAAUGCAAAUCUUGUUGACAACAAAGAAGUUGCAGAGCGUGGGCCUCAUAAUCUGCUUGGGAAUCUCGGUUCAAGGUCUGGUACCAAUAAUGAUAACUGCAAUGCUCCUGCUGCUGCUAUAGAGGAAGAAACUUUGAUUGUUGUUGAUGAUGAUGAUGACUUUGAACAAGCCCAGCCUGUCCUCAACAUCAGAAAAGAGUCUCCAAUGGCAGUUCCUCUUUCCAAACGAGAAAUCCAGGUGAUAUAUGUUUUUCUACUGGAUUGCUUGGUCCUGAUGGAACAAACCGGUAUCUGGGGAAAUGGUGCAAGCGUGGCCAAAACAAGGUGCCCAUGCAAGGUUCAAUUGAAAGCAGUGGUGAUUUGAUUGCUGUUGGAGCUGAUGGGAGAGGUGGCAGAAUAAAAGUUUUGAGAACUCCAAAUCAAUCUUCUCAGGAUGGUAAACAGGAUUUGGUAUGUGCAAAGAGGUUAAAAUAUGGAGCGAAGACAAGUAAAGUGCAGUCCCAAGGGUGCUUGCAAAUAGAACACUUCUUUGGAAAGGUCAGCCAAUAAGUAAAUGCACACAUCACUGUCGGCAACUUCUUAAUUAGGAUUAUAUCCUCUAGCCACAUAGGAAAGGCUGAAGUUUUUCUUCAACAUCAAUAUGCCUUAAAGAAAAUAUAUAGAGGCAAUUGAUUUGGCUAUCUCUUAAGUGAAUCCACCUCUAUGAUAACAUUUUUGGGGUUUAGACUUGAGACUGAAACUAUUCCAUGUUGUUUUGUUCAUUGCCUUUUGAAUGGGAUCAAGAGGCAAUGUAGUUUAUUUCUCAAAUUAGCAGCACUGAUUUCAAAUAUCUGUUGUCAUACCUUACAUGGAUUAGAACAAACAUCAGUGGACGGGAUUGGGUACUGGCUAUGCAAUGCUAUGGAUGAUGUUUAUUUUUAAUUUAUAUGAAGCUUAAGGAUUAAGCCAAUAGAAUAGAAAUUAUUUAAGUU